UACAGAGGCCUCGAGCGUUGUUCGGAAUUACUGGGCGUAAAGGGAGUGUAGGUGGUGACGUAAGUCAGAUGUGAAAGCCCUGGGCUUAACCCGGGAAGUGCAUUUGAUACUGCGUUGCUAGAGUGCGAGAGAGGAAAGUGGAAUUCCAAGUGUAGGGGUGAGAUCCGUAGAUAUCGGGAGGAACACCAGUGGCGAAGGCGGUUGCCUGGAGCUUUGCUGACGCUGAUGCGCGAAAGCGUGGGGAGCGAUCCGG
rnacentral:rRNA from 1 species